rnacentral:rRNA from 1 species
GUGGGGAAUAUUGGGCAAUGGGCGCAAGCCUGACCCAGCAACGCCGCGUGAAGGAAGAAGGCUUUCGGGUUGUAAACUUCUUUUACCAGGGACGAAACAAAUGACGGUACCUGGAGAAAAAGCUACGGCUAACUACGUGCCAGCAGCCGCGGUAAUACGUAGGUGGCAAGCGUUGUCCGGAUUUACUGGGUGUAAAGGGCGUGUAGGCGGAACUACAAGUCAGGAGUGAAAACUAUGGGCUCAACUCAUAGCCUGCUUUUGAAACUGUAGUCCUUGAGUGCUGGAGAGGCAAUCGGAAUUCCUAGUGUAGCGGUGAAAUGCGUAGAUAUUAGGAGGAACACCAGUGGCGAAGGCGGAUUGCUGGACAGUAACUGACGCUGAGGCGCGAAAGCGUGGGGAGCAAACAGGAUUAGAAACCCCGGUAGUCC